CGCCUUGCCAGCCCGCUCAGAACUUAAAUGAAUUGACGGGGGCCCGCACAAGCGGCGGAGCAUGUGGAUUAAUUCGAUGCAACGCGAAGAACCUUACCUGGGUUUGACAUACACCGGAAAACCGUAGAGAUACGGUCCCCCUUGUGGUCGGUGUACAGGUGGUGCAUGGCUGUCGUCAGCUCGUGUCGUGAGAUGUUGGGUUAAGUCCCGCAACGAGCGCAACCCUUGUCUUAUGUUGCCAGCACGUAAUGGUGGGGACUCGUAAGAGACUGCCGGGGUCAACUCGGAGGAAGGUGGGGACGACGUCAAGUCAUCAUGCCCCUUAUGUCCAGGGCUUCACACAUGCUACAAUGGCCAGUACAGAGGGCUGCGAGACCGUGAGGUGGAGCGAAUCCCUUAAAGCUGGUCUCAGUUCGGAUCGGGGUCUGCAACUCGACCCCGUGAAGUCGGAGUCGCUAGUAAUCGCAGAUCAGCAACGCUGCGGUGAAUACGUUCCCGGGCCUU
rnacentral:rRNA from 1 species